UGCACUGACUCUGAAAGCUCCAACAGGAAGGAGUUGCUCGUGACAGUUAAGCAUGCAGUUCCAGCAUGGUUCUAUGACACACAGGGGCUAACUCUCUCUUGCAUCAGUGUAACUCCGGGCAGCACCUAGAGAUCCCAAUGAAGAGCAAGGCCUGACUGAGCCAAGCGCUGUACAAAGAGAAGGAAAAAGACAAUCCAUGCUCUGAACAGUCUCAUCUAGUUAAAUACCGGAUCCAGUCGAGCCGGUAUAGAAGACGAGAGGGAGGCUGGUGAAAGGAAGACAAGAUGGGGAAACUGAAGCAGAGGUUAACACAACCUGAUGUUCAGAAACGCCAAGGACACAAUUAUAACGGAAGUCAAUGCGAACUGAUGCACUGACGUGCGCUUCCCCUCUAUACUGGCAAGCUGGCAGUAUAAAGGCAAAGAUAAUGACAGCAAAAUCGUGCAUGAGAUACUAUCAAAGACUAGAUCCUCCGAGAUGGGGAGGGACCCUUACCUGACAG